rnacentral:rRNA from 1 species
AGUGAACGCUGGCGGUAGGCCUAACACAUGCAAGUCGAACGGCAGCACAGGAGAGCUUGCUCUCUGGGAGGCGAGUGGCGGACGGGUGAGGAAUACAUCGGAAUCUACUCUGUCGUGGGGGAUAACGUAGGGAAACUUACGCUAAUACCGCAUACGACCUACGGGUGAAAGCAGGGGAUCUUCGGACCUUGCGCGAUUGAAUGAGCCGAUGUCGGAUUAGCUAGUUGGCGGGGGAAAGGCCCACCAAGGCGACGAUCCGUAGCUGGUCUGAGGGGGUGAUCCGCCACACUGGAACUGAGACAGCGUCCAGACUCCUACGGGAGGCAGCAGUGGGGAAUAUUGGACAAUGGGCGCAAGCCUGAUCCAGCCAUACCGCGUGGGUGAAGAAGGCCUUCGGGUUGUAAAGCCCUUUUGUUGGGAAAGAAAUCCAGCUGGCUAAUACCCGGUUGGGAUGACGGUACCCAAAGAAUAAGCACCGGCUAACUUCGUGCCAGCCGCCGCAGUAA